CCUCACUCUACUUACUAAAUAGGCGAGAAAGGGGCCAAUCAUGCAACCUUCUCAGCACAUGGGUUGGCCUGCAAGGUCACUAACCCAGGUGUGUUGCGCGUUGCAGCACCCUUAGGGCAGGCAAUCUGGACACCUUGGACAUGUCAGGAUAGGUGCUCAUGCGCGGGUAUGCAUGUCACAUCGAGUGGGGCAUGAUGUCCAUGCCCUUGCAUGGUGCGAUAUGCUCACGUUGCUCAGCAUGCUCGCGCACAUUUGCAAUGUUGUAUGCGUCUCUAUUUCUCUCAUUCGCAUGGCAUGGAGUUCCCUUACACUCGAUUGAGAGAACGCUUGCACUAUGUGCAUGACAGGGAUUGACCCUGCACUACGAAUUUGUCAAGGCAAUCUUCGCCCAUACACACGUAUGUCAUCUGUAGGCUCCCUCGAUGCAUAGGCGUGCCUUGUGAAGCCCACAUGCAAGUGUACUCCUGUGCACGCACAUUGCAUGCUCGGGGCCCUAUCCCAACACAUAUGUGUGCCUAGAUAGUGUCCCUCGCAUAAUUGGCACGCUACUAUGCCUGUGCUUGCGAUUUAUCAUGGCACAUCAAUGCAUUUUCUCACUUGUUUUUGAUCAUCCAUGCACAUUUUAUCUUUCUAAACAUAAUCCUUAAACAUUUAUAAAUAUCAUACUUACCUUUCUAAGCUAAAUU
rnacentral:lncRNA from 1 species